rnacentral:SRP_RNA from 1 species
AUGCGGGUCCUGUGCGACAGAACGUCGUGAACCAUGUCAGGCGGGGAACCGAGCAGCAUUAAGCGGCCGUUUCUGUGCGCCGCAGGUAACCUGUGUACC